rnacentral:lncRNA from 1 species
CGUUGAGAUGCACCAACUAGCAUAUAGAGAAAUCAUCAAUCCUGUCCCCAUGAUUGAGAUGCCAUCUACUGUCUUCCCAGUGCAAGUGAUCAAUAUCAUGCCACCUGUGACUAUGCCGCGAAUAGGCCGCCCUGGGGCUAGGAGGUUUCCAUCUCAAGUUGACACGUGUCCAAAUAAGUGCAUGUGUUGUCAUCAAACUGGCCAC